CGCGAAGAACCUUACCAAGGCUUGACAUAUACGAGAACGGGCCAGAAAUGGUCAACUCUUUGGACACUCGUAAACAGGUGGUGCAUGGUUGUCGUCAGCUCGUGUCGUGAGAUGUUGGGUUAAGUCCCGCAACGAGCGCAACCCUCGUUCUAUGUUGCCAGCACGUAAUGGUGGGAACUCAUGGGAUACUGCCGGGGUCAACUCGGAGGAAGGUGGGGAUGACGUCAAAUCAUCAUGCCCCUUAUGUCUUGGGCUUCACGCAUGCUACAAUGGCCGGUACAAAGGGCUGCAAUACCGUGAGGUGGAGCGAAUCCCAAAAAGCCGGUCCCAGUUCGGAUUGAGGUCUGCAACUCGACCUCAUGAAGUCGGAGUCGCUAGUAAUCGCAGAU
rnacentral:rRNA from 1 species